rnacentral:ncRNA from 2 species
UAGAAUUGCAUAAUGAAACCUCAUAUAAGACGGGAAUAGGGCCCGUUCGUCUCUACCUGGGAACCGUAAAUUCCCGGACUAUGAGGGGAGUUCAAGCAUCU